CACAUAGGGUGCGAGCGUUGUCCGGAAUUAUUGGGCGUAAAGAGCUCGUAGGCGGUGUGUCGCGUCGGCCGUGAAAACCUGCAGCUUAACUGUGGGCUUGCGGUCGAUACGGGCAUCACUGGAGUUCGGCAGGGGAGACUGGAAUUCCUGGUGUAGCAGUGAAAUGCGUAGAUAUCAGGAGGAAUACCGAUGGCGAAGGCAGGUCUCUGGGCUGACACUGACGCUCAUGCACGAAAGCGUGGGGAGCGAACAGG
rnacentral:rRNA from 1 species